AAGCUCCGUUGAGGACCAGAGCGUAAGCUCCGAUGCGGCGGGGACACAAACUCACAGGAGGGACUCAUCCUCGUCGCCGUGGUACCUCACCUGCAAACACUCCCCUCAUUAGUGCAGACCAGGGCAGGGCCCAGAGCAGAGGCAGAGGCAGUCAGCCCGGGCGCUGUUGUCGGGAGGAUGGGUGGCCACGGAGAGAGGGGUGCGGGCCCAGCCUGUUGCCACGGUGUUGAAGCUCCACUGCUGAUGGAUGUCGACCUGCAUCCAGAGGUGAUGGAUGCUGUUGUCACGGCAAGCACCGGCCCCGCGGUGGAGAGGGGGGGGGGUUGGGGUUAUGGUGGACACAGCCUGGUACUCCGUCCAGGUACACUGACAAGAAACCACCCCCACCCCUCCAGAGGGCAUGUCCCCGACCGGAGUGAAAGCUUUGCUCAGGAACGGUUUUCGAUACGUCCUCUACUGGCAGUGCGGCUCCGCAACAGACCCCGUACUGGGAGAACGGCUCGUGGAGUGAAACUGGGAACAGAGCGGUGCUCAAGGCGCUCACUGCUGCUCGUCCGGCAGCUGAAGACUGAGACUCAGCUGAGCGGACCAACAUGUGGAUCAGCUCCUCCUCUCAUCUGGGCUUUUUCAGAUGUCGGAAGACACCGAAGACAGAUUGUAGAUCAAACUGAAAGAGGGGGAAAAUAAUUGAAUAAGGCAGGAUCUUGAAAAAUGAGCCCCCCUCCCCCCCCCGGAGAAAUUAUGCAGUGGUGGAACAUAAAGGAGAGGAAGCACAAUUUUGAGGUGUUUGCACUUUUUUUAAUGUAAAGAUUAAACUAGGCUUCAAAUAAUGAA